rnacentral:rRNA from 1 species
UACGGAGGGUGCAAGCGUUGUUCGGAAUUACUGGGCGUAAAGGGCGCGUAGGCGGUUUGAUAAGUCAGAUGUGAAAGCCCACGGCUUAACCGUGGAAGUGCAUUUGAAACUGUCAGACUUGAGUACCAGAGGGGAAAGUGGAAUUCCCGGUGUAGAGGUGAAAUUCGUAGAUAUCGGGAGGAAUACCGGUGGCGAAGGCGACUUUCUGGCUGGAUACUGACGCUGAGGCGCGAAAGCGUGGGGAGCAAACAGGAUUAGAUACCCUGGUAGUCCACGCUGUAAACGAUGUCAACUAGAUGUAGGGGGUGUUGAUCCCUUCUGUGUCGCAGCUAACGCAUUAAGUUGACCGCCUGGGGAGUACGGUCGCAAGAUUAAA